AACGAACGCUGGCGGCAUGCCUAACACAUGCAAGUCGAACGAGACCUUCGGGUCUAGUGGCGCACGGGUGCGUAACGCGUGGGAACCUGCCCUUAGGUUCGGAAUAACUCCCCGAAAGGGGUGCUAAUACCGGAUAAUGUCUUCGGACCAAAGAUUUAUCGCCUUUGGAUGGGCCCGCGUUGGAUUAGCUAGUUGGUAGGGUAAAAGCCUACCAAGGCGACGAUCCAUAGCUGGUCUGAGAGGAUGAUCAGCCGCACUGGGACUGAGACACGGCCCAGACUCCUACGGGAGGCAGCAGUGGGGAAUAUUGGACAAUGGGCGAAAGCCUGAUCCAGCGAUGCCGCGUGAGUGAUGAAGGCCUUAGGGUUGUAAAGCUCUUUUACCCGGGAUGAUAAUGACAGUACCGGGAGAAUAAGCUCCGGCUAACUCCGUG
rnacentral:rRNA from 1 species